GGGUAUUUUGCUCUGAAAGCCACAAGAUUACAAAUACUACAUUCUUUGGGUUCACACAAAUGCACUGGGCACCAACAUGACAUAAUAUUCCACAGCAGCCUAGCAGUUAUCGAUGAAGCCAGAGUGAAAACAAAUAAACACACAAAAGCACUCUCAUGCUCCUGGUUGAAAGGCUAAAGUCUCGUUCUGCUAAAGUACAGUCUAUGUAUCAACAGUAGCUGCUGAAACAUGGUGGAGCAAUAUGGGUCUCAUGCUCCUGGGGAGCAGGAGGGAAGAGGGAAAUCUGAAGCCCCAGGCUGGCCUGGUCUACUUCUACUGAUUCAUGGAAUCAAAUGCCACAGCAAACAGUCCAGCUACAGCCAAAAGACCAACAUUGCAGUUUGA
rnacentral:lncRNA from 1 species